CGCGGCCUAUCAGCUUGUUGGUGAGGUAAUGGCUCACCAAGGCGACGACGGGUAGCCGGCCUGAGAGGGCGACCGGCCACACUGGGACUGAGACACGGCCCAGACUCCUACGGGAGGCAGCAGUGGGGAAUAUUGCACAAUGGGCGAAAGCCUGAUGCAGCGACGCCGCGUGAGGGAUGACGGCCUUCGGGUUGUAAACCUCUUUCAGCAGGGAAGAAGCGAAAGUGACGGUACCUGCAGAAGAAGCGCCGGCUAACUACGUGCCAGCAGCCGCGGUAAUACGUAGGGCGCAAGCGUUGUCCGGAAUUAUUGGGCGUAAAGAGCUCGUAGGCGGCUUGUCACGUCGGGUGUGAAAGCCCGGGGCUUAACCCCGGGUCUGCAUUCGAUACGGGCUAGCUAGAGUGUGGUAGGGGAGAUCGGAAUUCCUGGUGUAGCGGUGAAAUGCGCAGAUAUCAGGAGGAACACCGGUGGCGAAGGCGGAUCUCUGGGCCAUUACUGACGCUGAGGAGCGAAAGCGUGGGGAGCGAACAGGAUUAGAUACCCUGGUAGUCCACGCCGUAAACGGUGGGAACUAGGUGUUGGCGACAUUCCACGUCGUCGGUGCCGCAGCUAACGCAUUAAGUUCCCCGCCUGGGGAGUAC
rnacentral:rRNA from 1 species